CUUUUACAACUAGGUCCACUUGUUGAAUUCAUUAGUUUUUAAUUCUAUGAAAGAAAUUGAAAGUUGCUAUGAAUAUGUGCUGGAACUAUAUGAUGAUUUGGCAUGGAAUUAGAGCUUUAAAUUGUUUAUAUGCUGAUUUUAUUGAAAGAAUUGAAUAGAAAGUGAAUGUUUAGGACCUAAUUGUAAAAGAGUUUGAAGUUAAAUUUUCAUGUGGAAAUUCUGAAUUUCAAUAGUUAUGAAAUAACUUCUAAUGUCUAGGAAAAGUAUUAAUUUAGAAAAUUAUCUUAAUUGAGGGGUU
rnacentral:lncRNA from 1 species